UAAUGGGGGGAGGGAGGUGGCAGAUAUGCAUGCAUUGUGGUUGGCAGUCCUUCCUCUUCUUAAAGGCCUGCUCAACUGCUGUAGCAUGCUUCUAUGGAAACUGCCUGUCUAUCAGCACACCCACACAUGAGUCAGAAGAGUGCUAUAAUCAAUUGCAUCAUCUGGAUCUAUAGCUGCUCACUGCUCCAGGUGUGUGUUCACUUCUCGCUGCUGUGUUUGUGCACUUGGAUGGGCUAAAUGCAGAGCACCAAUUCUGAGUAUGGGUUACCACCAUAGACUAAAGAAAUAUGUACGUAGUGUCCGUGACAUCACCCAUAGACUCCUCAAUAGUGGUUUUGAAGCCUAAAGUGUGCAGAGCGGGCCGUCGCCAUCUUGGCAGCGCGUCACCGCGCGACUCUCCCGGAUAAUCGAAAUGAGUAACCCCAGAGUGCAGUCUGGACGAUGGGGCGGGGCGACACUUCGAGGCGGAGCGACACGUGUCGCCCCGCCCAUAUUUGUUUCCCCCGCCUUUGACAUUUUCCUCCGAGCCAGCAGGGGGCAGUUUGCGUUGAAACAAACAGAACGGUGGCAACUACAGCAGCAGAGCAAUAACGCUAUUCCGUUGAUUGCUUGAGGUGAGUAAAAGUGGUUGUGUAAAUAUCUUAUAAUAUGAAAUGCGAUGUUCGAUCAUUUAUUUAUCCAUGGUACGUUCAAUUUGAAUAAUUAUUGUUAAUAAUUGUUAUAAAUUGCUCAUUUUAUUGUUCUUUGUGGAUUGUAACAGUACACUCUGUACAUGGCUUUAGUUCAUAGGUUCGAUUUUACAGAGGAUGACAUGAUCAGGAGGUGGUGGUGUUCUGUUCUCCUGGACAGCUUUACUCCGCAAAUAGCUCAACCACUGAGGAGAACUUCACCAUUCACCAUGUCUUCAGGCAGAGUCCAGCAAAGCAGCUUCCACUGGAAAUCCUCAGGGAAGUUAUUUUGUCGGCGGGUGACUCUGCAUAUUUGACACUUUCUCUGGUUUGCAGAUGGUUUAGGGUUGUGCUCCGAAGUUUUUCGGAAAGCGGCACAGUUUGCCUGGCUAGAGAUUGUGGCCAACUGGAAGAAUUGUCCUCCUGUCUCCUGACCGGAACGAGUUCAGACGGAUGUACAGCAUCAGGGAACGCUUGCAGUGCAGAGCCCUUUUCAAGUUUAACCCACCAGGGUACAGGGAAGAGACCGGCGUGGUGAUCUUCUGGGCUUUUGUUUACACAGGAUUUUGUUCCAAGGACUGUUUUUUUUUUUUUUUUUUUUUUUUUUGCGGCAUGAAACACAUUUGUGUGUUAAGUUCAUUGAAGGGAAAUAACUGGUUUUGAUUAUUAAUUGAUGUAAUUUAAAGUUAAACUUUGCACUGUAUAAUGUUUU